GCGGCAGGCCUAACACAUGCAAGUCGAACGGUAACAGGAAGCAGCUUGCUGCUUUGCUGACGAGUGGCGGACGGGUGAGUAAUGUCUGGGAAACUGCCUGAUGGAGGGGGAUAACUACUGGAAACGGUGGCUAAUACCGCAUAACGUCGCAAGACCAAAGAGGGGGACCUUCGGGCCUCUUGCCAUCAGAUGUGCCCAGAUGGGAUUAGCUUGUUGGUGAGGUAACGGCUCACCAAGGCGACGAUCCCUAGCUGGUCUGAGAGGAUGACCAGCCACACUGGAACUGAGACACGGUCCAGACUCCUACGGGAGGCAGCAGUGGGGAAUAUUGCACAAUGGGCGCAAGCCUGAUGCAGCCAUGCCGCGUGUAUGAAGAAGGCCUUCGGGUUGUAAAGUACUUUCAGCGGGGAGGAAGGUGUUGUGGUUAAUAACCGCAGCAAUUGACGUUACCCGCAGAAGAAGCACCGGCUAACUCCGUGCCAGCAGCCGCGGUAAUACGGAGGGUGCAAGCGUUAAUCGGAAUUACUGGGCGUAAAGCGCACGCAGGCGGUCUGUCAAGUCGGAUGUGAAAUCCCCGGGCUCAACCUGGGAACUGCAUUCGAAACUGGCAGGCUUGAGUCUUGUAGAGGGGGGUAGAAUUCCAGGUGUAGCGGUGAAAUGCGUAGAGAUCUGGAGGAAUACCGGUGGCGAAGGCGGCCCCCUGGACAAAGACUGACGCUCAGGUGCGAAAGCGUGGGGAGCAAACAGGAUUAGAUACCCUGGUAGUCCACGCCGUAAACGAUGUCUACUUGGAGGUUGUGCCCUUGAGGCGUGGCUUCCGGAGCUAACGCGUUAAGUAGACCGCCUGGGGAGUACGGCCGCAAGGUUAAAACUCAAAUGAAUUGACGGGGGCCCGCACAAGCGGUGGAGCAUGUGGUUUAAUUCGAUGCAACGCGAAGAACCUUACCUGGUCUUGACAUCCACAGAAGAAUCCAGAGAUGGAUUUGUGCCUUCGGGAACUGUGAGACAGGUGCUGCAUGGCUGUCGUCAGCUCGUGUUGUGAAAUGUUGGGUUAAGUCCCGCAACGAGCGCAACCCUUAUCCUUUGUUGCCAGCGGUUAGGCCGGGAACUCAAAGGAGACUGCCAGUGAUAAACUGGAGGAAGGUGGGGAUGACGUCAAGUCAUCAUGGCCCUUACGACCAGGGCUACACACGUGCUACAAUGGCGCAUACAAAGAGAAGCGACCUCGCGAGAGCAAGCGGACCUCAUAAAGUGCGUCGUAGUCCGGAUUGGAGUCUGCAACUCGACUCCAUGAAGUCGGAAUCGCUAGUAAUCGUGGAUCAGAAUGCCACGGUGAAUACGUUCCCGGGCCUUGUACACACCGCCCGUCACACCAUGGGAGUGGGUUGCAAAAGAAGUAGGUAGCUUAACCUUCGGGAGGGCGCUUACCACUUUGUGAUUCAUGACUGGGGUGAAGUCGUAACAAGGUAACCGUAGGGGAACCUGCGGUUGGAUCACCUCCUUACCUUAAAGAA
rnacentral:rRNA from 1 species